rnacentral:rRNA from 1 species
GGCACGCCUUAUACAUGCAAGUCGAACGCAGUAGCAAUACUGAGUGGCAAACGGGUGAGUAUAAUGUGGGUAUCUGCCUUUUGGUUUGGAAUAACAUGAGGAAACUUGUGCUAAUACCGGAUAAGCCUUCACAGGGAAAGUUUUAUACGCCGAAAGAUGAGCCCGCACUUGAUUAGUUUGUUGGUGAGGUAAUGGCUCACCAAGACAAUUAUCAAUAGCUGGUCUGAGAGGACGAUCAGCCACAUUGGGACUGAGACACGGCCCAGACUCCUACGGGAGGCAGCAGUAAGGAAUCUUGCACAAUGGGGGAAACCCUGAUGCAGCGAUGCCGCGUGAGUGAAGAAGGCCCUUGGGUUGUAAAACUCUUUCGUCGGGGAAGAAAAUGACUGUACCCGAAUAAGAAGGUCCGG